rnacentral:rRNA from 1 species
AUUGAACGCUGGCGGCAGGCCUAACACAUGCAAGUCGAGCGGAGCGGCGGACGGGUGAGUAAUUCCUAGGAAGCUGCCUGUUAGUGUGGGAUAACGUCAGGAAACGGGCCCUAAUACCGCAUACUUUUAGCUGGGCCUAGGUUGGAUUAGCUAGUUGGUGAGGUAAAGGCCUACCAAGGCGACUACCCGUAACUGGUCUGAGAGGAGGAUCAGUCACACUGGAACUGAGACACGGUCCAGACUCCUACGGGAGGCAGCAGUGGGGAAUAUUGGACAAUGGGCGAAAGCCUGAUCCAGCCAUGCCGAGUGUGUGAAGAAGGUCUUCGGAUUGUAAAGCUCUUUAAGUUGGGAGGCGUUACCAAAAGAAUAAGCAACGGCUAACUACGUGCCAGCAGCCGCGGUAAUUC